rnacentral:lncRNA from 13 species
AUGGCUCCCCUGGCAGUCUCCGCAGAGACACCGGAAACCGAGGGCGGAAGGUCAAGCCACGACCAGCCCCAGCAGGAGAGAGACGCCACGACAAGUCGUAUGAGUCCAGCAGAGCAGGACGUCCCCACGACCUCAGAGAAGGUUCUGUUCCCAGUCCGAAGCGCCUGGAGGAGCCACAGCACCGGCCUAGAUCCCCAGGGAGGACCAGCAGCCUGGAACGCCAGGUGGACUUCUGGGAGGAGCGACCCACCCCCGCAAAGCGCCGACGGCGCCUCUCCCCAGAAGCCUGUGUCUCCGUUCCGCGCCUGCUGUCGCGAGUCCUCAACCACCUGGGCGGGCUGGAGGUGGCCCUGGGCGAGCUUCAGGCCCCGGGGGGCGCCUUCCUGCCGGGGCCCGCCUGCGCCACGCAGCCCAGCGCCUCGCAGCGCGCAUGGCUCACCUGGCAGCUGGCGCACGCCGGGGCCGCACUGCACUGGGCGCUGGCCACGCUCGACAGCCUGCUGGCUUCGGGGCCCUGGCCGGCCGGUCCGCCGCACUUUGCGCCUGCUCCCGGGUGGCCUUAGGUGCGCCCUCACAGUUUCCAGCACCCUUGCCUUGGGAAAGUUCGGACCCUUGGCCCCAGAGACGAGCCCGACUCUGCACUGCAACCUCAUGGCGCCCUGCUGGACUGCGGCCUCCGGCGCUGGGACUCCAGGAGCUCCCCGCAGCAGCAGAGCAGAAAGAAGCAGGGCGCAGCUCCGGUUCGGCUCCAGACAGCCUUCCUCCCGCCCCCUCAGACAGAUAGAUGGCAGCCUGGCUCCGGAAGCCUACCUGUUGUUCCAGGCAUCCAAAGGAAGUCAUGGUUUUUCCUUCUGGGGGCUCAGAAGAUCUGGGACUUUGACUACUUGGGACUGACCUGUCUGCGAUUGAAUAUUUCCGCGUUUUCUUUGAAAGGAACAGGUGUGAGCUUUGGUGUUUGACCUGUGAUUGGCCUUCUUCCAGCCCAGAGCUUUGUGAACCCUGCCCCAACAGGCCUAACCUAAUCCAGGGAGCCUGUCACUGUGGGCGUGGCCGCGGCAAACACUUUUGGGAAAACCCAACUCUAGACACCCUGCUACAGAGUGAGCCAGGUCGGUUCUCGGGAGUGGAGCUGGUGUCUUGGUGAGGUACCUUGCCCUUAACAUUUCAAACCUCUGCCACCAGGGUCAGGAAAAUAUUCCUGACAGGGUUCUGUGAGCCUCUGGAAUCUCUACACCAUUCCGUAUUUGUACCCUAGGCUUUGGCAUGGAUGCACUGCCUCCACUUUUUGGAAAACAGCUUACAAGUGUUUGAUGACCCAUGUGGCUACCUCUUUGAGGUCAGUUUUUUUUUUUUUCUUUUUUUUGUGGAAGCCAGGGUCCCGUGCAUUCUAACUGAAACCUGGGAGCCUCUCUCCUUAGCCAGUGAUGAGCACCUUGGCCACUCUGGAGAAGAAGUUGGAAGGGGAAUGUCCCACUUGGUGUCUUGGAAUGGUGGCUUCUUUCUUGGGAAAAUAGAUGGGACAAAGAAAAUCCAACUGAGCUCUGUACAAAGCAUGGAUAUUGAUGGGUGAUAGGCAGCAUGGAUUCAGGAGAGCAGGGAGAGUUAGGGGAGAUGCCCAUGCCCCUGGAAUAGUGGGGGGCCAUUUGGAGCAAGCCCCAGAUGGAGAGGGAGAUGUCCAGGUGUUUGGUCAGUCCUUGUGAACCAAAGAGAGGUCCUAGGGAUGUUAGAUUUUUAUAGAAGUGGUUUCUCUUUGAAGUUUUGUUUCAUGAUUUAAUAUUUCCUUCCCCCAUGGAUGGCUUCAAGUAUGAAUGACAAUAAAUAAAUAUACAUAUUUACUGUAUGUGACGUC